GACGAACGCUGGCGGCGUGCCUAAUACAUGCAAGUCGAGCGGAAGUUGGAGAGCUUGCUCUUCAACUUUAGCGGCGGACGGGUGAGUAACACGUGGGCAACCUGCCCUGCAGAUCGGGAUAACUCCGGGAAACCGGUGCUAAUACCGAAUAGUUUUCGCCACCUCCUGGUGGCGUACGGAAAGACGGUUUCGGCUGUCACUGCAGGAUGGUCCCGCGGCGCAUUAGCUAGUUGGUGGGGUAACGGCCCACCAAGGCGGGGAUGCGUAGCCGACCUGAGGGGGUGAUCGGCCACACUGGGACGGGGACACGGCCCAGACUCCUACGGGAGGCAGCAGUAGGGAAUCUUCCGCAAUGGACGAAAGUCUGACGGAGCAACGCCGCGUGAGUGACGAAGGUUUUCGGAUCGUAAAACUCUGUUGUGAGGGAAGAACAAGUACCAAUUAACUACUGGUACCUUGACGGUACCUCACCAGAAAGCCACGACUAACUACGUGCCAGCCGCCGCAGUAACAC
rnacentral:rRNA from 1 species